rnacentral:rRNA from 1 species
UACGUAGGGUGCAAGCGUUAAUCGGAAUACUGGGCGUAAAGCGUGCGCAGGCGGUUGUGUAAGACAGAUGUGAAAUCCCCGGGGCUCAACCUGGGGAACUGCAUUUUGUGACUGCACAGCUGGAGUGCGGCAGAGGGGGAUGGAAUUCCGCGUGUAGCAGUGAAAUGCGUAGAUAUGCGGAGGAACACCGAUGGCGAAGGCAAUCCCCCUGGGCCUGCACUGACGCUCAUGCACGAAAGCGUGGGGAGCAAACGGGG